rnacentral:rRNA from 1 species
CAAUAGCGUAUAUUUAAGUUGUUGCAGUUAAAAAGCUCGUAGUCGGAUUUUGGCUGAGAACGAACGGUCCGCCGUUAGGUGCGCACUGUUUGGUCUCAGCUUCCUGGUGAGGAGGUGUGCUUCACGGCCACUUAGUCACCGUGGUUACUUUGAAAAAAUUAGAGUGUUCAAAGCGGGCUUACGCUUGAAUAUAUUAGCAUGGAAUAACACCAUAGGACUCCUGUCCUAUUUCGUUGGUCUCGGGACGGGAGUAAUGAUUAAGAGGAACAGUUGGGGGCAUUCGUAUUUCAUUGUCAGAGGUGAAAUUCUUGGAUUUAUGAAAGACGAACUUCUGCGAAAGCAUUUGCCAAGGAUGUUUNCAUUGA